rnacentral:rRNA from 1 species
UACGGAGGGUGCAAACGUUGCUCGGAAUCAUUGGGCGUAAAGCGCACGUAGGCGGCUCGUUAAGUCGGAUGUGAAAGCCCUCGGCUCAACCGAGGAAGUGCAUACGAAACUGGCGAGCUUGAAUAUGGAAGAGGGUCGCGUAAUUCCCGGUGUAGAGGUGAAAUUCGUAGAUAUCGGGAGGAACACCAGUGGCGAAGGCGGCGACCUGGGCCAAUAUUGACGCUGAGGUGCGAAAGCGUGGGGAGCAAACAGG